GACGAACGCUGGCGGCGUGCUUAACACAUGCAAGUCGAACGGAAAGGCCCUGCUUUUGUGGGGUGCUCGAAUGGCGAACGAGUGAGUAACACGUGAGUAACCUUCCCUUGACUAUGGGAUAACUUCAGGAAACUGGGGCUAAUACCGGAUAGGAGCUCCUGCUGCAUGGUGGGAGUUGGAAAGUUUCGGCGGCUGGGGAUGGACCCGCGGCAGAUCAGCUUGUUGGUGGGGUAGUGGCUUACCAAGGCGUUGACGGGUAGCCGGCCUGGGAGGGUGACCGGCCACAUUGGCACUGAGACACGGCCUAGACUCCUACUGGAGGUAGCAGUGGCGAAUAUUGCACAAUGGGCGGAAGCCUGAUGCAGCAACGCCGCGCGCGGGAUGAACGCCUUCGGGUUGUAAACCGCUUUCGCCUGUGACGAAGCGUGAGUGACGGUAAUGUGUCAAGAAGCACGGGAUAACUACGUG
rnacentral:rRNA from 1 species